CAAAGGCUGUGGAUUUCAGGCAAGGAGGUAACUGAAGUGACUACAGCUACUUUAAGCUGCCUUUGCCAGAUUGUUAUCAAUAUUAAUUGGAACAUAAUUGAGAGAUACUGCAAAGCAGAGGCCCCAUUCCCUGGGCUGAUGUUGUCUCUCCAGAGCCCAUCCACAGGAGAUUUUGCUGAGUGAGGAGAAGGUGGCAGAGGUACAGCAGGACAAGCCUGUGAUGGACAACACAGCACAAGACAUGGAGCUAUUGACAGUACAGCAAAAGCAUCACCCACCAAUACAGGCAGGCUGCUGCUCCCAGAGCAGAGCACAAGGAGUGGAAGUCACCUGCUGCCACUGAGGCAAAGGAAGGGCCACAAAAAGGAGCUGCUGCACGAGUUGUUGAGGGCACAAAGCCUCAUCUGCUGUGCACCCAGAAAAUCUCACUGAACUCUGAGGAAAUGUCCUAGGCCUGCACUAUCCUGUGUCUAAAAGCAAAGGAACCCUUUGUGAAGGUCACUUCACAACAACCACCCCCA